rnacentral:rRNA from 1 species
GAUGAACGCUAGCGACAGGCUUAACACAUGCAAGUCGAGGGGCAUCAUGAGGUAGCAAUACGUUGAUGGCGACCGGCGCACGGGUGAGUAACGCGUAUGCAACCUGCCCGAUACCGGGGUAUAGCCCAUGGAAACGUGGAUUAACACCCAAUAGUACUUGUAUCCUGCCUGGGAUGGGAGUUAAAUGUUCAAGGGAUCGGAUGGGCAUGCGUCCUAUUAGUUAGUUGGCGGGGUAACAGCCCACCAAGACGAUGAUAGGUAGGGGUUCUGAGAGGAAGGUCUCCCACAUUGGAACUGAGACACGGUCCAAACUCCUACGGGAGGCAGCAGUGAGGAAUAUUGGUCAAUGGACGUAAGUCUGAACCAGCCAAGUCGCGUGAGGGAAGACUGCCCUAUGGGUUGUAAACCUCUUUUAUAAGGGAAGAAUAAGUUCUACGUGUAGAAUGAUGCCUGUACCUUACGAAUAAGCAUCGGCUAACUCCGUGCCAGCAGCCGCGGUAA